rnacentral:rRNA from 1 species
AGCGUCGUUUGCGACGCCCAACACACAAAACAAGCGGUGAGUGCUUUGGGGUGGGGUGACUGCGUACCUUUUGUAUAAUGGGUCAGCGACUUAUAUUCUGUAGCAAGGUUAACCGUAUAGGGGAGCCGGAGGGAAACCGAGUCUUAACCGGGCGUUAAGUUGCAGGGUAUAGACCCGAAACCCGGUGAUCUAGCCAUGGGCAGGUUGAAGGUUGGGUAACACUAACUGGAGGACCGAACCGACUAAUGUUGAAAAAUUAGCGGAUGACCUGUGGCUGGGGGUGAAAGGCCAAUCAAACCGGGAGAUAGCUGGUUCUCCCCGAAAGCUAUUUAGGUAGCGCCUCGUGAAUUCAUCUCCGGGGGUAGAGCACUGUUUCGGCUAGGGGGCCAUCCCGGCUUACCAACCCGAUGCAAACUGCGAAUACCGGAGAAUGUUAUCACGGGAGACACACGGCGGGUGCUAACGUCCGUCGUGAAGAGGGAAACAACCCAGACCGCCAGCUAAGGUCCCAAAGUCAUGGUUAAGUGGGAAACGAUGUGGGAAGGCCCAGACAGCCAGGAUGUUGGCUUAGAAGCAGCCAUCAUUUAAAGAAAGCGUAAUAGCUCACUGGUCGAGUCGGCCUGCGCGGAAGAUGUAACGGGGCUAAACCAUGCACCGAAGCUGCGGCAGCGACACUAUGUGUUGUUGGGUAGGGGAGCGUUCUGUAAGCCUGUGAAGGUGGCCUGUGAGGGUUGCUGGAGGUAUCAGAAGUGCGAAUGCUGACAUAAGUAACGAUAAAGCGGGUGAAAAGCCCGCUCGCCGGAAGACCAAGGGUUCCUGUCCAACGUUAAUCGGGGCAGGGUGAGUCGACCCCUAAGGCGAGGCCGAAAGGCGUAGUCGAUGGGAAACGGGUUAAUAUUCCCGUACUUGGUGUUACUGCGAAGGGGGGACGGAGAAGGCUAUGUUGGCCGGGCGACGGUUGUCCCGGUUUAAGCGUGUAGGUGUGUGUUCCAGGUAAAUCCGGUU